rnacentral:rRNA from 1 species
GACGGAGGGGGCAAGCGUUGUCCGGAAUCACUGGGCGUAAAGCGCGUGUAGGCGGUCGCUUGCGUCGGUGCUGAAAGCGCCCGGCUUAACCGGGCGAGGCGUGCCGAUACGAUGCGACUGGAGGCAGGCAGAGGGCGGCGGAAUUCCGGGUGUAGCGGUGAAAUGCGUAGAGCUCCGGAGGAACGCCGGUGGGGGAGCCGGCCGCCUGGGCCGGACCUGACGCUGAGACGCGACAGCGUGGGGAGCAAACCGG